rnacentral:rRNA from 1 species
CCGUUGCCGGCGACCGGCGCACGGGUGAGUAACACGUAUGCAACCUGCCCGUGGCAGGGGGAUAAGCGGGGGAAACCCCGUCUAAUACCGCGUAACGCGGCCUAGGGACAUCCCAAGGCCGCCAAAGGGAGCAAUCCCGGCCACGGAUGGGCAUGCGGCGCAUUAGCUAGUCGGCGGGGUAACGGCCCACCGAGGCGACGAUCAGUAGGGGUUCUGAGAGGAAGGUCCCCCACAUUGGAACUGAGACACGGUCCAAACUCCUACGGAAGGCAGCAG